GAGAGUAGAGCGUACGCGUCGGGCCUUGCCCGGUAGUGCCAUUGGAUGGGAGGUUGCCAAUGGACGAAACAGCUUUUGCUGUACGGUGUGCGCUUGCAGCCGCU
rnacentral:ncRNA from 1 species